GGGUGGCUGUUGGAAGAGAUGGAGGGAAAAAGCACAGUCCCUUGCCUUGUCUGUCUUCUCGUGCGAGCUGGCCCUCUUUGCCAAUGAGUUACCUUCUUUGCCCGUUGUCUCAGCAGAACUCUUGGCUCGGAAGCUUCCAGGAGGCACUGGGUGCCCAUGGGUGCAACCACCCCAGUCCACUGGGUGCCCAUGGGUGCAACCACCCCAGUCCACUGGGUGCCCAUGGGUGCGACCACCCCAGCCCACUGGGGGCACCGGCUCGAGGCCACGAAGCAUCCUGUGUAAAGCAUCUGGGAAAACUCAGCUCAGAUCCAGGUUGUGGUCCCUGGAUAGGCCUUCUCCAUCCUUAGAUAAGGAUCCAGGUUGUGGUCCCUGGAUAGCCUUCUUCAUCCUUAGAUAAGGAUCCAGGUUGUGGUCCCUGGAUAGCCUUCUCCAUCCUUAGAUAAGGAUCCAGGUUGUGGUCCCUGGAUAGGCCUUCUCCAUCCUUAGAUAAGGAUCCAGGUUGUGGUCCCUGGAUAGCCUUCUCCAUCCUUAGAUAAGGAUCCAGGUUGUGGUCCCUGGAUAGGCCUUCUUCAUCCUUAGAUAAGGAUCCAGGUUGUGGUCCCUGGAUAGCCUUCUCCAUCCUUAGAUAAGGAUCCAGGUUGUGGUCCCUGGAUAGCCUUCUUCAUCCUUAGAUAAGGAUUCAGGUUGUGGUCCCUGGAUAGGCCUUCUUCAUCCUUAGAUAAGGAUCCAGGUUGUGGUCCCUGGAUAGGCCUUCUUCAUCCUUAGAUAAGGAUCCAGGUUGUGGUCCCUGGAUAGCCUUCUUCAUCCUUAGAUAAGGAUCCAGGUUGUGGUCCCUGGAUAGCCUUCUCCAUCCUUAGAUAAGGAUCCAGGUUGUGGUCCCUGGAUAGCCUUCUUCAUCCUUAGAUAAGGAUCCAGGUUGUGGUCCCUGGAUAGGCCUUCUUCAUCCUUAGAUAAGGAUCCAGGUUGUGGUCCCUGGAUAGCCUUCUCCAUCCUUAGAUAAGGAUCCAGGUUGUGGUCCCUGGAUAGCCUUCUUCAUCCUUAGAUAAGGAUCCAGGUUGUGGUCCCUGGAUAGGCCUUCUUCAUCCUUAGAUAAGGAUCCAGGUUGUGGUCCCUGGAUAGCCUUCUCCAUCCUUAGAUAAGGAUCCAGGUUGUGGUCCCUGGAUAGGCCUUCUUCAUCCUUAGAUAAGGAUCCAGGUUGUGGUCCCUGGAUAGCCUUCUCCAUCCUUAGAUAAGGAUCCAGGUUGUGGUCCCUGGAUAGCCUUCUCCAUCCUUAGAUAAGGAUCCAGGUUGUGGUCCCUGGAUAGGCCUUCUCCAUCCUUAGAUAAGGAUCCAGGUUGUGGUCCCUGGAUAGGCCUUCUCCAUCCUUAGAUAAGGAUCCAGGUUGUGGUCCCUGGAUAGGCCUUCUUCAUCCUUAGAUAAGCCUUUAUCUUUAAAAUGGUACCUCCUAGGGUUAAGUGAGAAGGUCUGUAAUGAAGGCUACUAGCCACUGUAGCUCUGUUAUGUCCUGUUCUAUCCUGGAAGAAGGUUGUACUGGAGAGUGCUGGUCUAUCCAGUCUGAGCACAGGAUGGGUAUGAUCAGAGCAGGCGCUAAGUGCUUCCUUCUCUUCCCUAAAUAAACUCACGACAAUCUGAUGACUAUUUCAGCAAUGAGAAACUUAAGGUACACAGUAAAGUCUUAAAAUGCAACAAAAGAUAUAGACUUGCAUUUAUUAUUCACUCUAUUAAAGCAUAUGAACUGGUUCAUUCAGCUCUGUGACAGUAUGUACAAACUGACACUGCUCCGUCUAGGUUUUCAUGGCCCCAAAAGGAAGUUCUGUACCUGGAACUCCCUAACUUUGGAGCCCCUAACUACAGAUAGCUUCCCUAGGGCACCCCUAAUGAUUUACCUGUUAUCGACAUGCAAGUGUGAAUUCACAGUAAAUGAAGUUUUACAACACAAGGGCUCCUAUGUCCCAGCUUCCUUCAACUCAGCACAGAUCCAGGGUUCAUUCUUGUAGCAGCCCGAGUCAGCACCCAUCACACACGAGACAGAGCAUGUCCACCAUCUGCAUUCUGUGGAUCAUUCAUCCACUGAAGACAUUUGGUGACUGAAUGGUUGCCUCAGUGAACACUGUUUUGUUUGAAGCGUUUUUUUAGUUUUCUUGUGUGUGCUGUUUUAAACAGAGCUGCCAGGGUGUGUAGCAUCCAUGUUACCAAGGAACCUGUAACUUCAGAGCCAGCUCAGAGCAGAUCUGACCUGAGGCAGUCUGUCUCCAGAUUCUGUGCUCUGCACCGAUGGCUGUGUAGCUGCUAUGACAGUCUCGACACCAUGGCUGCUCUCAGGACACUCGCUUCCUUUCCUCAGACCUGGUAUCACCACAGAGCCCGUGGUUUGGAGGUCCGCUGUCCUUCUUGCCUUUGUUACAUUACUGUGUGGCUUCCCUGAAUUGAGGAGGAAGAACAUGGGGACUAGACAGGCCCUGUUUUGUUUUCCUUUGUGCACUUGCAUCUAACAAGCUACGGAAGGAAAAGUGGCGCGCAGGCUUGUGUAACAGCCAUAGGCUCUGCCAGAGGCCUUGGGUUCCUUGUAAACUACCCAAAGAUGACCCCAGUAUAAGUCAGCAUCCUCUGUACUGAGCGGCCUUGUUUAAGACAAAUAUCUUGGAAAAAACAAUCAACUUCAUUUCGAAAAUAUAAACUAGAUGCUCCAGGAAGUACUCAAAUAAUAAAAGAACUAUGUCUGUAGAUUUUUACUGCUUCCUUAGGAAAGGGCUAUCAGACAGUUUCUAACCAUAUGAGCGGACCUCCAGUUUAUCAGUUUU